AACGAACGCUGGCGGCAGGCCUAACACAUGCAAGUCGAACGCCCUAGCAAUAGGGAGUGGCAGACGGGUGAGUAACACGUGGGAACGUGCCUUUCGGUUCGGAAUAACCCAGGGAAACUUGGACUAAUACCGGAUACGUGCGAGAGCAGAAAGAUUUAUCGCCGAAAGAUCGGCCCGCGUCCGAUUAGCUAGUUGGUGAGGUAACGGCUCACCAAGGCGACGAUCGGUAGCUGGUCUGAGAGGAUGAUCAGCCACACUGGGACUGAGAUACUGCCCAGACUCCUACGGGAGGCUGCAGUCGAGGAUCAUUUGCAAUGGGCGAAAGCCUGACAAUGCGACGCCGCGUGCAGGAUGAAGGCCUUC
rnacentral:rRNA from 1 species